rnacentral:rRNA from 1 species
AUUGAACGCUGGCGGCAUGCCUUACACAUGCAAGUCGAACGGUAACAGGUCUUCGGAUGCUGACGAGUGGCGAACGGGUGAGUAAUACAUCGGAACGUGCCUAGUAGUGGGGGAUAACUACUCGAAAGAGUGGCUAAUACCGCAUGAGAUCUACGGAUGAAAGCAGGGGAUCGCAAGACCUUGUGCUACUAGAGCGGCCGAUGGCAGAUUAGGUAGUUGGUGGGAUAAAAAGCUUACCAAGACGACGAGCUGUAGCUGGUCUGAGAGGACGAUCAGGCACACUGGGACUGAGACACGGCCCAGACUCGUACGGGAGGCAGCAGUGGGGAAGUUUGGACAAUGGGCGCAAGCCUGAUCCAGCAAUGCCGCGUGCAGGAUGAAGGCCUUCGGGUUGUAAACUGCUUUUGUACGGAACGAAAAGCCCCGGGUUAAUACCCUGGGGUCAUGACGGUACCGUAAGAAUAAGCACCGGCUAACUACGUGCCAGCCGCCGCGGUAA